rnacentral:lncRNA from 1 species
UAUGUGAGAGCCAGAGAAGUUAACUUUUUUUGCCUAUGGCGUAUCACCUAGCAACUUGUUCCCAGAGCUGGGACUAGAACCGAGUGUUGAGAACCUGGCAAGUCCGUGAAGAGAGGAAGCUAUGGAGCUGGUGGAACAGGUUUGAAGCAUCAGUCAACAGCUGGGAUUCACUUUGGACCUGCUGGUGUGUGAAUAGUGGCAAUAGACUGUGACAGGAAGCUGAUAGACCAGCGUUGGAACCUUUAAGGCCCCAGGAGUCUCAUGCAAGACACAGCGUGGCU